GGGAAACUCCAUCUCUCCUUCAUUUCUGAAGGAAAACUUUGCCAGAAUCCAAAUCCUAAUGAUGCUCAGUAAGUGACUUUAGGCAAAAAGUCAGUUGCAGCUUUGAAGGCAGAAAUGAGCAGGAAGAAUAUUUUAUUAAAUUUUAAGCUCACGGUGGGUCAGGAUAUGCACAGUUCAAGGACUACUCACGGCACUCUAGAGGGAUAGCCCAACCUUCCCUGAAAAGGGGGAAUCCUGUAUGUCUACCAAUUCUUCUAACCAGCAGAGGGCAGCACUGAUGAAGGACAACACAGCCAAAAAAGGUGAUCAGGAUGGCUGCUACAUUAUCAACAAGGACUACGGUGUCCAUGGCUCCAUUGCUGGCAGCUUCAAGAGGGUGCAGCUCCCCAGCUCCAGAGUGCCCACCCCAACCCCCAGGACACAUCUCUUCAGUGUGAGUGCCCCUCCAGCACCCAGCUCUGCUCUCAGAGCAUCCCAGUGUUCACCUCACUCCUUCUGGCACCUGCUCAUAUCCUGGCUGGCACUGUUCUGUCUGUUUUCACAGGAGUUUGUCUCAUCCAUUUAAAUUUUAAAAUGCUAUAGAAAGGAAAUGGUACAUUUCUUUUGUAUGUUCUCAGUGUCUGAAGCCAUAUACUUAAUGAAUGACCUUAUGGAGUACAUAUUAAUUGCUUGAAAAGUACUUAUUAAAUUAAUUGCAAAUAGAUGAUUAAAGCCCAGUGUUUAUGACAGAAUCAAAAGAAACCAUGUUUGUUGUAACAUUGAAUGUCAACUAUACUUCAUUUCACAAAAUAAUGUUUGUGAAAAUGUUAUGAAAUUACGAAGACCCAACUAUGUAAACUGUAUCUAGUAUUGAGCUAAAAUAAUGUUAUUUAUCUUUUAAUGAUAGGGAUAUUAAUAUGAAUAAGACAACCUUCUGCUGUUAGGAGUCUAGCAGAAGAAACUAAGCUGAUAAUGCAUAAUUUCAGCAAAAUGUAGAGUGCUACAGUAUAAGUGUGCAGAAGUACCCUAAGAAUAUUUCAGAAACAGUUAAUCUGCCCAAGGCCUUGGGAGAGAAAGACCUCAAUACUAACUCUGUGUCAAUUUGACAAGCCACCGUCCCUAUCAUUGAGCUCUUCAGUCAAUAGCACAUAUUGAGUACCUACUCCAUACAGACAAAUGUAUCAAACAAGUAUUAUGAGAGACAGCCUUAGUGUUAGCCCUGAUCAAGGCAAGCUGUUGUCUCCUUAGAAACCCUGGAAAACAGGGGUCACAGAGAGAAACCAGAAUAUAGAGCUAACAUCCUGCAUAGCCCCCCGAAGAAGGAGAAUUUUUGGACCAGGACAUUUCCAUACAUUCCUGUGUAAGAAGUUGGAUCAGUGGUUAAGGAUAUCCAAAUUAAGUAUGCCCAGAUAAGUAUUAUUAGGCAUGAAGUGUGAAAGCAAUAAGCAGAGUUUUCUUUGAGCUUCCGAGUUUUCUUUUAUCAGUGAUUGGCUGUCCAUACCGUCCUCAUAUAUUUGACUUAUCAGAAAGAAAACAUGCUUUCUCAACCUGCUUUCUGCCACACUUUGUGUUCCCCAAAGAAAAGAAGAUCAAAAGGCCUAAGAGUGCUUACCAACCCCACAAGGAUGCUUCCUGCCACAGCUUAGGGUGUCUGUGGCAGUGGUACCCAUGGUGAUUUGAAAAACCAGGUUACCUAAAGGGAUAUAAUGACCUAAAGCAUUAACAUUAGCAGGAAUCUUGGAGAGUAUCCCACAAAACCCCGCCUCCAUUUUACUGGUAAGGAAACGGAGGCCUAGAGAAGUAGAGUGACAAGCCUAAGGCCACAAAGCAAGUUACAAACAGAGCCUGGACCAGAACUCAGGACUCCUGGCUUCCAGAACAAGUAGACUAGAACUCAUUUGAAAUAGAGUUCAGCCUAUUUUCUGUCUCUGCUCUGCCCCUCAGCCUACAUAGGGCCUGCACCUGACCAUCUGAAAUCAGGCAUGCUUGAAAGGGUUUGCCUUUUCACAUUGGUUUUACUGCUCUACAUCCCACACAUACGCAUUUUCCCAAAAUAAGUGUCAUUUUCAAGCCUCUUGACAGAUCACGAGCUGAAAGCCCACCUCCUGACUGGUACAGGAGAAUGACUCACCUUCUGAACCAUCCACUGCACAAGGCCCAAGUAGUAGAGCAUGGACAUGACACAUCCAAAGGAAAGGAUGAUUGGUAAGGUCUGUAGUGCGAAUGGCAGGGCAACUGGUGAGAUAAAUGUGCUCAUUUGUGCCAUAAGCGAACUGUGUUUCAGGCCUCUGAAUUAAGAUGUUGGUGAGGCUGCGGAGAAAGGGGAACCCUCCUACACUAUUGAUGGGAAUGCAAAUUGGUACAGCCACUCUGGAAAACAGUAUGGAGGUUCCUCAAAAAGGUGAAAAUAGGGCUACCAUAUGACCCAGCA